rnacentral:rRNA from 1 species
GACAGAGGGGGCAAGCGUUGCUCGGAAUUACUGGGCGUAAAGGGCGCGUAGGCGGGAUGGCAAGUCGGUCGUGAAAUCCCUCGGCUCAACUGAGGAUCGUCGAUCGAUACUGCCGUUCUUGGGGAUUGCAGAGGAGACUGGAAUUCCCGGUGUAGCGGUGAAAUGUGUAGAGAUCGGGAGGAACACCGGUGGCGAAGGUGGGUCUCUGGGCAAUUCCUGACGCUGAGGCGCGAAAGCGUGGGGAGCAAACGGG